AAUAGAAUUGAACUUUCUCUUAGGAAUAAUGCUUUCAAUUAAAUAACGCCAAAAAUAAGGAUGAAUGAAGACAAUGGAAUGAGAUUCCCCUAGAAGCAGAUGGUGAAAAGCCUUCCUUUUACUUAGAUAUCAGUCGUCUCUUCUGACAUGGGCUUACAAAAUGUUUAGCCUAGAUUGAAAACGAGGAUUUUUAUCAAACACAUAGGACAGUUUCAAUGGCUAAGUCCUACUCUGUUCUCCAAAACCAAUCCUUGCCUCAAGCUAAGGAUCCUAUAUGUCACAUUUGGAGUCUGGGGCCUUCUUGGGUGGUGGCCUUGAGGAAAAGGCAAAUUAUCCUCCCUAAUGGAUGUAUCCUAUGCUCGCAUGAUGAGGAAACGGUAGACCAUCUAUUCAUUCACUGGGAGCUCACUCGGGUAAAUUUUGGAGAUUCUUUACUCUGGAAAAAAUACUGGGUGAUGCCCCAAAAGGUUGGGGAUCUAUUAUCCCUGUGGCACUUUGCCCGGUCUGGAAUGCCAGGGUUGCAUGAAUCCUCAUGCUUACUGUUGUUUUAUGGGUAACCUCACCGGAAUUCAACAACAAAACUUCUUAUGACAACGGCCGCAUCCAUAUCAGGUCUUCCAUCCACUCCAAGCUACUAAUGUAUUUAUGGGGACUCAGAUGGAAAUCUUUGAAGGUAGCUUGGGGAAUCUUUCUUCAUUGUAUUAGCUGAAUGAUUCCUCUUCAUCCUUUCUGCCUGUAUUUUCCCAUGUUUUGUAUUUAGGCCUGUUUCCAUGUUUUUUACUGAUCUUUCCAGCACCAAGAAAUAACCUGUGUAAUCCCUUUUGGCCAUGAUUGGGUCUGAGAGCUUUGGAGCAAAUAACCGUAGCCUCUCUUAAGUCGCAAGGUCAAUGCCUCAGCUGUAGUCAUGUCUCCCUUUCACCCACGGGCCCAGAGGACGAGAAAGCAAUUGAACCAUUUUCAUCUGUCCACUCCAUGACGCUUGCUUGAUCCCAUGUUGCUAAGAGAAGAUCAACCGAAGUUAACUUUUCAGCACCUGAAAGUGGGAUGGAGACGUUUUUCAGUUUGGUGGGUUAAAUUGUCCACUAGAGCUAAAUUGGAAAUAAGGUCCAAGCCAUCGGAAGCAUCUUCAAUAGGAUCCUAUCCUGCUUCAUCGAACCACUGCCCUGACUCAUAAUAGUCUCACCAUGCUUGCAAUGGAACACACAGGAGAUGCCAAACAAACUCAAGAAAUAGCCACAAAAGCUUCAGAUCUGCUAAUGAAUGUACGAGUGGGGCACCAGUUCCACUCCCUUGCAUCAAAUACAAAUGGAAUUUUUUAUUUGGGUGGGGAUGAAUAGUGAAUAUUCAUCUGCCACCCUCUCCAAAAGAAAGCCUCCAAUUUGGGAGGGGUCAAAGUAGACAGCCAAAUCACGAGGAGAGCCACCAUCUAUAGAAAUGGCAAGGAGCUUUGAGCACCAUGUCAAUUUGCAAAUAGGCUCAUCCUUCUCAUGGCUGCAAUGAAGACACUUUCAAGCAGCAACAAGAAAAUGAAAUGUCCACUUCGUCAUCCUUGAGAUUUCUGCUAAAAGUAAUAGCAUAUGUAAUAUCUUUUCAAUAAUGACCAUUCUAAGUCAACCCAUCAUAGAGCCUCAGGGUUCUGGAAAGUGACGUUUGGAUUGGAACAUUAUUUGGGAGGGAGACAUACUUUUAAUCCAGGGAAUGGUUCUCGGAGGAUUAGUGGAGCAGUGAUAGGCCCAUCUCUAGUCUUUACCCCCAACUGUAUAGGGGGUCUUGGAAAGGAGGAAGAAUUUCUCAUUGUUUCUCCCAGGUGGCUAACCAAGUAGGUCUGUACUCCUUAUUUCUGCAGAUUUUUUUUUUUUUUUGUCAGUGACUAUUUUUUGGUCAAUGAGAUGAAAGAGUUUUUAGUCUUCUGGUCUUGAUGGAAGGACGAGGGCCAUUGUUUGUGGAGAGGGACGUGGAGCUGAAAGUUGGUGAGAUCAGAGUGCUUUUCCCUCAAAUCAUUUUAUUUUGUUAUCACUGCUGGCUCUAAACCUAGGGAGUUGGAUCUGAUCGGACACAUUUGAAAAUAUUUGGGCCUGUCUCGUGUGAGCAAUCUUGAAUAGCUUGUUGGGAAGAACAAGGUAAUAGCGAUGGAUUUGUUAAGUAAAAGAGAAGGUAAUGAUGAUAGACCACCACCGAAGGAGCAGACAGAUGAUUAUUCCAAAUGUGUGCAUUCUAUGCCUACAAGAUAUAGAAUUGGUGGGCCAUUUAUUCUUGCAAUGCAGUUUCUCAUCAUCCAUUUGUUGGAAAUUCCUCGGUCUCUUCAAAAUCAUUUCGGUGAUGCCUCGUUUGCUUGCUGACUUUUUCAAGCUAUAGCAUGAAAGCUUUAGAGGCCAAGAGAGUUCUGUGGACAUCACCUUUGCUUGUUGGGCUUUUGAUUUGGCUUGAAUGUAAUAAUAAGAUGACUCUUAACAUGUUGGGCUCCUCAAUUUUUUUUUGAAGGCAUAUUGAAAAGUGA